rnacentral:rRNA from 1 species
UGGGGGAUAGCCUUUCGAAAGGAAGAUUAAUACCCCAUAAUAUAUUGAAUGGCAUCAUUUAAUAUUGAAAACUCCGGUGGAUAGAGAUGGGCACGCGCAAGAUUAGAUAGUUGGUGAGGUAACGGCUCACCAAGUCUGUGAUCUUUAGGGGUCCUGAGAGGGAGAUCCCCCACACUGGUACUGAGACACGGACCAGACUCCUACGGGAGGCAGCAGUGAGGAAUAUUGGACAAUGGGUGAAAGCCUGAUCCAGCCAUCCCGCGUGAAGGAUGACGGUCCUAUGGAUUGUAAACUUCUUUUGUACAGGGAUAAACCUACCCUCGUGAGGGUAGCUGAAGGUACUGUACGAAUAAGCACCGGCUAACUCCGUGCCAGCAGCCGCGGUAAUACGGAGGGUGCAAGCGUUAUCCGGAUUUAUUGGGUUUAAAGGGUCCGUAGGCGGACCUGUAAGUCAGUGGUGAAAUCUCAUAGCUUAACUAUGAAACUGCCAUUGAUACUGCAGGUCUUGAGUAAAUUUGAAGUGGCUGGAAUAAGUAGUGUAGCGGUGAAAUGCAUAGAUAUUACUUAGAACACCAAUUGCGAAGGCAGGUCACUAAGAUUUAACUGACGCUGAUGGACGAAAGCGUGGGUAGCGAACAGGAUUAGAUACCCUGGUAGUCCACGCCGUAAACGAUGCUAACUCGUUUUUGGAUUUUCGGAUUCAGAGACCAAGCGAAAGUGAUAAGUUAGCCACCUGGGGAGUACGUCCGCAAGGAUGAAACUCAAAGGAAUUGACGGGGGCCCGCACAAGCGGUGGAUUAUGUGGUUUAAUUCGAUGAUACGCGAGGAACCUUACCAAGACUUAAAUGGGAAUUGACAGGUUUAGAAAUAGAUCCUUCUUCGGACAAUUUUCAAGGUGCUGCAUGAUUGUCGUCAGCUCGUGCCGUGAGGUGUUAGGUUAAGUCCUGCAACGAGCGCAACCCCUGUCACUAGUUGCUAACAUUCAGUUG